CUACGGGAGGCAGCAGGCGAGAAAACUUUGCAAUGUGCGAAAGCACGACAAGGUUAAUCCGAGUGGUUUCUGCUAAAGGAACCUUUUGACAGUCCUAGAAACACUGUUGAAUAAGGGGUGGGCAAGUUCUGGUGUCAGCCGCCGCGGUAAAACCAGCACCUCAAGUGGUCAGGAUGAUUAUUGGGCCUAAAGCAUCCGUAGCCGGCUCUGUAAGUUUUCGGUUAAAUCUAUACGCUCAACGUAUAGGCUGCCGGGAAAACUGCAGAGCUAGGGAGUGGGAGAGGUAGACGGUACUCGGUAGGAAGGGGUAAAAUCCUUUGAUCUAUUGAUGACCACCUGUGGCGAAGGCGGUCUACCAGAACACGUCCGACGGUGAGGGAUGAAAGCUGGGGGAGCAAACCGGAUUAGAUACCCUUGUAGUC
rnacentral:rRNA from 1 species